GGGAGGAGCGCAGAGAGGCGGAGAAACGAAGUCGGGUAACAGAUUUAAACCAUGUUUGAAAGCUUGCCUCGGUUUGUCAGUACUGUGAGAAAACCUAAUUACUGAGGAAACUUGGACCCUAAAACAAAGCGUAGGAGCUGCUUUUUUGUCGAACGCGAGUGAGACUGGACGCUGAACACACCAAAAGGUGUCACCAGGUGUCCACGAUCGCCGAGACAUCACCCAUGAUGGCAGGGACAUGGUCCAUGUUGAGGAUGAGGGAGACAUUGUCCUCGAUCAGAGACCUUGUCAAUGAUCAGACAUUGUCCAUGACUCGCAGAGACAUGUGCAAAAGUUGGUAGUGACGGAGUUCCCCUGAUUUGACUGUACUGUCUGCAAUCACAGAGAAUCUAUGAACAAUGAAGACGUUCUUUGGGACAAGGCCUGACACCUCCAGCAGAAGAAGACGACAGCAGCUGAAGACCUGAAGUGGAUGAAAGAAGUCAGAAGUGUUACAAAGUUGUUAAUUAGAUAAAAGACCUCCAUCGUCUAACUGCUGUAAAACACUUUGUUUUUCUCUACCAUCUAUGAUGUAGUCAUGGGCACAUUUUCCAAUGUUAUUUAUUUAACACCUGUGAGACCAUUCAACUGCUUAUGAUACAAUUGUUUAAUUGAUAAUUGUACCACAAGCAGUUAAAUGAUCACAGAGAUGCUUAGUAGACACGUUCCUCUUUGGAAAAUGUGCUCAUAACUACAUUGACCCUAAUCAGCUCUAACAAGAGUUUCCUUGUGGUCAAAUGUCUGUCAUUAUCUUUGCUGGGAUUUGUUAAAUGUUGUCUGGAAUAAAAUCAUUAAAAGUUUCUUCCUAAA